CAGGGGUGUGUGUGUGUGUGUAGAUGUACAUGUGUGUAAUGUGUAUAUAUAUAUAGAUACUCAAAC
rnacentral:pre_miRNA from 1 species